GGUACAUGUCAACAACAUGCCCGCAACGGACGAGGUGGAGCUGGACCUUAUUGAGCUGGACCUAAUUACUGCAACGGGACUCGUGAUUAUUAUUUUCAGCAUUCUUGUGCUUGGCACACUCAUUUGACACCAGACGUGACAGUACUUCGCUCUGUCUUUGUGACGACUCCAGUGAAUUCUUCAAGACAUGCUCAGAUACAGCGAGAGACAAGGCCCUAGAAUGCAUCACUGUUGGUGUGCUGACAGUUGUCAGUGAAGAUCGUCCUCACGAGGGUCCAAGUUCAGUGGACCUCCAGCACAUCUCCACUGCCAUCAUUCUGGAGGGAGGUAAUAACAGCUAAAAUAGAUAAGAAAUGGGAGAGAGAGAGAAGAAGGACAAGGACCCAUUCAAGGUAAUUGGUUUGUUUAAUUUAAGUGAACUUGAAAAAUGAGUGAGUAGUAAGUUGUAGGUAUUUAGUAAUUCUAAGUGGGGUUAAAUUUGUAUCAAGUAGUCCACACAAAAUGAAAAAAUUAAGUUAACACUAAGCAUGGCUAUUAAGUUACAUUAACUUUUUUUUUUUAAGUUGUACUACUUGAUUUAG